rnacentral:rRNA from 1 species
AGGGUUUGAUCAUGGCUCAGAAUCAACGCUGGCGGCGUGCCUCAGACAUGCAAGUCGAACGCGAAAGUUUCCUUCGGGAGACUAGUAGAGUGGCGCACGGGUGAGUAACACGUAGGUAAUCUACCUUCGGGUGGGGAAUAACCCAGGGAAACUUGGGCUAACACCGCAUAAUGCAGCGGCACCACAUGGUGACAGUUGUUAAAGCGGGGGAUUUUCGGACCUCGCGCCUGGAGAGGAGCCUGCGGCGGAUUAGCUAGUUGGUAGGGUAACGGCUUACCAAGGCGACGAUCCGUAACCGGCCUGAGAGGGCGGUCGGUCACACUGACACUGACAUUCGGGUCAGACUCCUACGGGAGGCAGCAGUCGGGAAUUUUGGGCAAUGGGCGAAAGCCUGACCCAGCAACGCCGCGUGAAGGAUGAAAUCCCUCGGGAUGUAAACUUCGCAAGAAUGGGAAGAAUUAGUAGGGGCUAAUACCCUCUAUGAUGACGGUACCAUUUGUAAGCUCCGGCUAACUCCGUGCCAGCAGCCGCGGUAAUACGGGGGGAGCAAGCGUUGUUCGGAUUUACUGGGCGUAAAGGGCGCGUAGGCGGCCAGCGCAAGUCGGUUGUGAAAUCUCCGGGCUUAACUCGGAAAGGUCAACUGAUACUGCGCGGCUAGAGUGCAGAAGGGGCAACUGGAAUUCUCGGUGUAGCGGUGAAAUGCGUAGAUAUCGAGAGGAACACCUGCGGCGAAGGCGGGUUGCUGGGCUGACACUGACGCUGAUGCGCGAAAGCCAGGGGAGCGAACGGGAUUAGAUACCCCGGUAGUCCUGGCCUUAAACGAUGGAUGCUUGGUGUCUGGAGUUUUAUAGUCUCCGGGU